rnacentral:lncRNA from 1 species
CAAAGUUCCCCAACAAGUCAAGCAAAGCAGGGACCCAAUUAACUUGCACUGGAAAAGCAGCAAAAUCUACAUUUUUCUCUUUCAAUUUCCUCAACAACUCUGGUGGCAACCCUGGUAAUUGUAUUUUAACUCUUUGAAUCUUUUCAAGUGUUGGAUUGAAAAUUUCAGCAAUUGCUACUGUUCCAUUCUCAAACAAAUCUACGUUCCUAACAGCACCUUCAUCUAAAUAUUGCAAGAAUCUUGAAUAUGACAUUCUACUUGAAGUUGAAGCUAUUGGACUCUCUGGCUCAGCUUUUGCAGGUUGAGCAAUAAAAGAGAACCCUUCAGUUAAGAGACC